rnacentral:rRNA from 1 species
GGCAGCACGGGAGCUUGCUCCUGGUGGCGAGUGGCGAACGGGUGAGUAAUGCGUCGGAACGUACCGAGUAAUGGGGGAUAACGCAGCGAAAGUUGUGCUAAUACCGCAUACGCCCUGAGGGGGAAAGCGGGGGAUCGUAAGACCUCGCGUUAUUCGAGCGGCCGACGUCUGAUUAGCUAGUUGGUGGGGUAAAGGCCUACCAAGGCGACGAUCAGUAGCGGGUCUGAGAGGAUGAUCCGCCACACUGGGACUGAGACACGGCCCAGACUCCUACGGGAGGCAGCAGUGGGGAAUUUUGGACAAUGGGGGCAACCCUGAUCCAGCCAUUCCGCGUGAGUGAAGAAGGCCUUCGGGUUGUAAAGCUCUUUCAGCUGGAGUGAAACGGUGAGCUCUAACAUAGCUUGCUAAUGACGGUACCAGCAGAAGAAGCACCGGCUAACUACGUGCCAGCAGCCGCGGUAAUACGUAGGGUGCGAGCGUUAAUCGGAAUUACUGGGCGUAAAGCGUGCGCAGGCGGAUUGUUAAGCAAGACGUGAAAUCCCCGGGCUUAACCUGGGAAUGGCGUUUUGAACUGGCAGUCUAGAGUGCGUCAGAGGGGGGUGGAAUUCCACGUGUAGCAGUGAAAUGCGUAGAGAUGUGGAGGAACACCGAUGGCGAAGGCAGCCCCCUGGGAUGACACUGACGCUCAUGUACGAAAGCGUGGGUAGCAAACAGGAUUAGAUACCCUGGUAGUCCACGCCCUAAACGAUGUCAACUGGUUGUUGGGGGAGUGAAAUCCCUUAGUAACGAAGCUAACGCGUGAAGUUGACCGCCUGGGGAGUACGGUCGCAAGAUUAAAACUCAAAGGAAUUGACGGGGACCCGCACAAGCGGUGGAUGAUGUGGAUUAAUUCGAUGCAACGCGAAAAACCUUACCUACCCUUGACAUGUCCAGAACCCUGAAGAGAUUUGGGGGUGCCC